AUCCUCCCUCCGAGCCCCGGCGCGGGGCAUGAGGAGCCCCCGGGUGCCGCCCAGAGACCAGCCGGCUGCGCGCACACCUCGCCAGCGGCAGACUGGGACAUGAGCAGCGCGCACAGGGUCCCGCGCCCGGCGGCCAGCCCCAUCCGGCGGCGGCCCGCGGGUCAACGCUGCCCGGGAGAAUGAGGCAGGAGCGGGCGGCAGCCUCCUUUUUUUCCUCCUCUUCGCCUUCCUGCGGCUCCGGCGCUCCGGACCCGGGCCGAGCUUUGGCUCUGCUGCGUGCCCCGCGCGCCCCUCAACCGGCUCCGGAUGCGCUUCUCGGUUAGCCUGGUGAGGAAGAUAAAGACAUUUGCAACCAAGAUGGUAAUCACGAGUGGAAAUGAUGAAGACAGAGGAGGUCAAGAAAAAGAAAGUAAGGAGGAGAGUGUCUUGGCAAUGCUGGGGAUUAUUGGGACCAUUCUGAACCUGAUUGUGAUCAUAUUUGUCUACAUAUACACCACCCUGUGAAUGGCCCAGAGCGUCCUCAGAGGCCUCGGGAUGGCCAGAGACGGAAGUCCUGCGUGUCGGCGUAUCACUGACCAGACACUGCGAGAACCAGCAGGCUUGACCCACCCACACCACCCAAUCAAAUGCACCUUCAGACUUUACAGAAGGUCACACAAAUAGACCGAUCCUGCUGCAGGGAGCAGACACUAAAGCACAAUGAUUCCAACAAAACUCAUUCACAGCACUAGGAACUCAACGUCUUUGGCAGGGGGCCCAGAAGAAUGCUUGGACGACCAGCCUCUGACACCAUCGGUGGUCCUCAGAACAAUCUUUGUGGAGUGGAUGGGACAGGACCCCAUGCGUCAGUCAUGGUCAGAAGUUAGCCACAUCCUUCCUGCGCUCUCAGGCCAGUGCUCA
rnacentral:lncRNA from 1 species